AUUGAACGCUGGCGGCAUGCCUUACACAUGCAAGUCGAACGGUAACAGGUCUUCGGAUGCAGACGAGUGGCGAACGGGUGAGUAAUACAUCGGAACGUGCCUAGUAGUGGGGGAUAACUACUCGAAGGAGUGGCUAAUACCGCAUGAGAUCUACGGAUGAGAGCAGGGGAUCGCAAGACCUUGUGCUACUAGAGCGGCCGAUGGCAGAUUAGGUAGUUGGUGGGAUAAAAGCUUACCAAGCCGACGAUCUGUAGCUGGUCUGAGAGGACGAUCAGCCACACUGGGACUGAGACACGGCCCAGACUCCUACGGGAGGCAGCAGUGGGGAAUUCUGGACAAUGGGCGCAAGCCUGAUCCAGCAAUGCCGCGUGCAGGAUGAAGGCCUUCGGGUUGUAAACUGCUUUUGUACGGAACGAAAAGCCCCGGGUUAAUACCCUGGGGUCAUGACGGUACCGUAAGAAUAAGCACCGGCUAACUACGUGCCAGCCGCCGCGGUAA
rnacentral:rRNA from 1 species